CCUACGGGAGGCAGCAGUGGGGAAUUUUGGACAAUGGGCGCAAGCCUGAUCCAGCAAUGCCGCGUGAGUGAAGAAGGCCUUCGGGUUGUAAAGCUCUUUUGUCAGGGAAGAAACGGUGAGAGCUAAUAUCUCUUGCUAAUGACGGUACCUGAAGAAUAAGCACCGGCUAACUACGUGCCAGCAGCCGCGGUAAUACGUAGGGUGCAAGCGUUAAUCGGAAUUACUGGGCGUAAAGCGUGCGCAGGCGGUUUUGUAAGUCUGUCGUGAAAUCCCCGGGCUCAACCUGGGAAUUGCGAUGGAGACUGCAAGGCUAGAAUCUGGCAGAGGGGGGUAGAAUUCCACGUGUAGCAGUGAAAUGCGUAGAGAUGUGGAGGAACACCGAUGGCGAAGGCAGCCCCCUGGGUCAAGAUUGACGCUCAUGCACGAAAGCGUGGGGAGCAAACAGGAUUAGAUACCCUGGUAGUCCACGCCCUAAACGAUGUCUACUAGUUGUCGGGUUUUAAUUAACUUGGUUAACGCAGCUAACGCGUGAAGUAGACCGCCUGGGGAGUACGGUCGCAAGNUUAAAACCGUUAAAUGAAUUGACGGCUGAGAGNGCGAGCGACGACGAGGGAGGAGG
rnacentral:rRNA from 1 species